AAAUAUAAAAAUUGCUUUUGACGUUGCAUUGUUUUGCUUACAUUUGUUUUGCAUUCUGAAGAUUUUAGAAGAAAUAAGUGAACACACAAUAUAAAAACUUAAAAAAAAAUGGUUACGCCGACUCCGGACACUCAAGAUCAGUUUGAUCAAUUCGAAGACGAAGAGAAUGAGCAACAGCUCGGGGCAACUGCUUCGGGCAGGAAAAGGUUAUUCAGUAAAGAACUGCGUUGUAUGAUGUAUGGAUUUGGAGAUGACCAGAAUCCUUAUACGGAAAGUGUAGAUUUCUUAGAAGAUCUUGUAAUUGAAUUCAUUACGGAAACCACACAUAAGGCAAUGGAGGUCGGUAGACCUGGUAGAGUUCAAGUGGAAGAUAUAAUAUUCUUAGUGCGCAAAGACCCAAGGAAAUAUGCGAGAGUCAAAGACUUGUUAACAAUGAAUGAAGAGUUGAAGAAAGCUAGAAAGGCCUUUGAUGAAGUUAAAUAUGUUGAAGACCAACAAUAGCAUAUGUGGCCAAGCAUCCAACACAUCUAAGACUGAUAAUGAACUGUUUUAAAAAAUUAUGGAGAGCAUUAGUAAAUCUACAAGGCAUCAUUCAGAGAAGUUUUGAGGACGAAUGAAGAAAGCAUAAAAGUUGUAUAAACAUUCCUGUUGAAAUAUACAAUAUUGUGAAUGUA